GAAAAGGCCAAGAUAUUUUUGAGAAAAACGAAGAUCUAAAAUGACGUGUUGAAUAACCAAUAAUUUUCUAACACGUGAACGAGUUGAGAACUCAUUACGUUUAAAGCAUGCAGGUGUGUGUAUGUGCGUGUGUGAUAUGUAAACAAGUACCUUUGCCUAUAUAUAUUUACACCCACUCCUUUUCUAGGAUUCCUCAUUAAAAUAUUCUCUCUUUCUUUCACUUAAACAGAAGAGAGGGAGAGGGGGGAGAGAGAGAGGGAGUGUCUGGGGAAGAGGGUGUUUUUGCUCUUCUUUAGAAUCUCGAGGUAAUUAUUUAUUUAUUUUUAUUUUCAAGAAUCUUUUUAUUUUGAAAAAAAUAAAUUCUUUUUGAUUUGAUAUUGAUUGAUUUGUUGUGGGGUUUUUCAGGAAUGAUUUUUUGAUUGAUUUUGGUGUGUUUAUGGAGGAAAAAUCAGAUUUUUUGAUUGAUUUUAGUGUGUUAAUGGUGGAAAAUCAGUAUUUAUUCACCUGCAUUUUGAGAAAAAAAAUGAAGUUCUUUUUGAUUUGAUAUUGAUUGAGGUUGAUUGAUUUGUUGUGGGGUUUUUCAGGGAUGAUUUUUUGAUUUAUUUUUGAUGGGAAAGUUGAUUUUUUGAUUGAUUUUGGUGAAUUUUAGCUCCAAGAAUAUCUAUUUAUUCAUCUGCAUUGUGUAAUUUUGAUUUCAUAUGGUCUUUUAAUUGAUUUUUGUGUUUUUUUGGUAAAAAAAAUCAGAUUUUUUGGAUCCAAGAAUGUCCAUUUAUUGUGAUUUUUUAUUUUUUUCAAGAAUAUUUUUGAAAAAAAUAAAAUAAAUUAUUUUUGAUUUGAGGUUGAUUGAUUUGCUGUGGGGUUUUCAGGGAUGAUUUUUUGAUUGAUUUUGGUGUGUUAAUGGUGGAAUCAGUAUUUAUUCACCUGCAUUUUGAAAUUUUGAUUUCUAAUGGGUCUUUUUUUAAUUGAUUUUUGUGUGUUUAUGGUGGAAGAAUCUUUUUUUUUUUUUUGAUUUGAUUAGUGCUUGAUUCGUUGUGGGUAUUUUCUGGGGUGAUUUUUUUUUGGCUACUUUUUGUUUGAAAAAUCAGAUUUUCUGAUUGAUUUUGGUUGAAAAAUCAGAUUUUUUAGCUCCAAGAAUAUUUAUUUAUUCACCUACAUUCUGAAAUUUUGAUUUCAUAUGUUUUUUUAGAUUGAUUUUUGGGUGUUUAUGGUGGAAAAAUGAGAUUUUUUUGGAUCCAAGAAUGUCCAUUUAUUGUGAUUUGGGGAUUUAAUUUGGUGUGUUUACGGUGGAAAAAUUAGUUUUUUUUAGCUCCAAGAGUAUUUAUUUAUUCACAUGCAUUUUUUAAAUUUUGAUUUCAUAUGGGGUUUUUAAAUUGAUUUUUGUGUGUUUAUGGUCGAAGUAUCACAGUUUUUUGGAUCCAAGAAUCUCCAUUUAUUGUGAUUUUUUUAGAUUUAAUUUGGUGUGUGUUUAUGCUGGAAAAAAAUCAGAUUUUUUUUUUCUCCAAGAAUGUCUAUUUAUUCAUCUCGAUUUCAUUGGUUUUUUUUUUCUCUGGGAUGAAAUUUUCUUUGAUUUUUGUGUUUUUAUGGUAACAAAUUUAGUGUUUUAUUGAAAUUUUUAUUUGAUAUUGGAUUGAUUUUUGUGUGUUUAUGCACCUAAAUUUGAUUUUUUUUAAAAAAAAAUUUGAUUGAUUGUGUUUAUUUUAUGGUGAAAAAUCAGAUUGUUAUGCUCCAAGAAUCUCCAUUAAUUCACCUGNNNNNNNNNNNNUAGUGUUGUGGUGGGGGGGGGGGGGGGGGGGGUUUGGGAUGAAUUAUUUUUUACUGUUUUUUUGUGGAAAUGUUAGCUGUAUUAUUGUUUUUAUCAUCCAGAUCUGUAAUGGGUAUCACUUAGUAUUGUAAAAAAUAUGAAUGGCAUCUCUAAAUUCUUACUAUUAAAAUUUUAUUUAUUGUCUUUAUGUAUGAAUUUUUGCAUGCAUGAGCCUCUUGUGUUUGUUAUUUGUUUGGGUGAUUGGUAUAAUAUUUUAAUUGUUUUUGGUCUAACAUGAGAAUUUGAGUAAGUUAAUAGGGGUACAAAGUUGAAAGUUUCAACCUUUUGUGGUGGCUACUAUAGUCCAAAUCUAAAUAUUAAUUUAUGUCAAUCAUAGUCAUUGAUAGUGGAAGAUAGUGUUAAAAAAAAUAUAAAAAAAAAUGACUAUGUAUUUAUUUGACUUCUUUGUGAUUUGUUUGCUUUAGAUAUUUCAUUUUCUUUAAUCAUUUAAUUUGGACUUGAAUUGAUUUUGAUUUGUCCAAAUCUUUGUAUUGGUUGGUGGGAUUUUGACAUAAUCUUUCUUUUUUUCAUCUAAAGAGAAAAAAAAGUGUCACAUAAUUUACAAAGUUUUCUACUUUUGAACUUUUUUUCUAUUUCACAUGAAUCAAUUGAUACUGUACCUGUUAGUGGAUUGAAAAAUUAUUUGGGGUACGAAACAUUCCGUGUUGGUAGGAUCCAGUAAGUAAAGGGUCACUGCUUCCAUGGCUCAAACUAGUAUUUUAUAGGUUACACGGGGACAACUUUAUCUUUGCUCCUAGUGUGAAAAGUAAAAUUUAUAAUUGAUUAGAUUCAAUGUACCCAUUUUUAUGAAAUGAUUUGUUAUUGGAUAAAAUUAUAUUUUAUUGGUAGAGCCACCUAAGUUUUGCCAUAGGUUCUUUGUAUCUUAUUACCUUAGGAUGGGGACAUAUGAAUUUUAAAGAAUACUUAGGAAUUGUCAGAGCUGUACUCCUUUGAAUGGUCAAGUUGUGCUUAUAGAGUGGUAUUGUAGCUUGGACGAUACUACAAUGGGGUUCGAAUUAGUUUGUGCGCAUCUUUGACUGUCCUAGUUGUUUGUGAACCAGGUUUUCGCCCACUUCCCACCAAGCCUUAGGCACAUAGGUAAAAAUCAUCUUUCAAUUUGGGGUUGGUUGAUAUAAAGCGUGUAAAGGAAAAAUAUUACUUUCUUUAAUCUUAUGGAAGUCUUGGAGUAAUUGGUAAAAUUGUCGUCACGUGAUUAGUGACCAAUCACGGGUUCAAGACUUGAAAGCAACCUCUUGCAGAAAUGUAUGGUAAGGCUGCGUACAGUACUCUUGUGCUGUGCUGGAGCCCGUCCUCGGACCUUGCACAUCGCGAGAGCUUUAGUGCACCGAGCGGUCCUUUGUUUGUAAUCUUUGAAAUCUUGUUGGAAUUACUCUAUUUUCUACUUACCACCAUAAAAAAAUCCUUUUUUUUUUUUUCGCUCUUUUCUGCUCUAUAAUUAAUAUAUGAGAGUUUAGUGAUCCUAGCACUCCCCAGACCCCACUAGGUGGGAAUACACUGGGUUUGUUGUUGUUGUUAUCGUCUAGUGGUCCUAGCACAUCGCUAAUUAAAUUUACACAGUCAUUUUUGUUGAGUUGAACAAGACUAAUUUAAAUUGUUGUGUCUAUGUUGUCACAUCAUUGUUGCAUUUUGUUGAAUUUUAAGUAACUGGAAAGAAAAGUACAAUGACGUGUAGAAACAUAAGUUACAUGUUUAAGUUGUCUCAGAAAAAAAAUCAACUCUACUAAUAUUAGAUAUUGGAACUUAAUUAAGAUGUUAAUCAUGUCAAUUGUGGCAACUCUGAUUGUUGAGUGUUGUUUGGUUGAUAGUGUUGAAUAAUAACCGUAGAUUGAUUUGUGUAAUAUUCUACUUACACGUUGGUUGAUAGUGUCUGGAGAUUGAUUUGUCUAAUAUUCUACUUAGACGUUAAUAAUAUCUGCAGAUUGAUUUGUCUAAUAUUCUACUUAGACGUUCGUUGAUAGUGUUGAAUAGUAUCUGUUGAUUGAUUUGUUUAAUAUUCUACUUACGGCCGAGUUUGACAGUAGUAUUAUUUUGACUAAUUAUUUGCCUACAGCUUGUGAGAAAACAUUAAUUUUUUAGCAUAGUCCAUGAUUGAGAUGUUUUGAUUUUGUUGGGGCCUAAAAGUUUGGUGAGUUGUCUAUUGUGUUUUUUAUGCAUGUGAAGAGCUUUUUCUUGAAGGAACUCAUAUGCUAAGUUGCUCGGACUCUCCAAAAAUAUUGCCACAUUCAUGUCGGAUCCUUUAAAAAUACAGAAUAACUUAGCUCAUGCGUAUAUCUUUCUUGCCCAAUUGUUUAUAUGUGGAAAUUGGCCUAACAUGCUUUAGGCUUUAGGUACAAUCUACUUGAUGUUUAAGUGAUGACAUAUAAAUGACUGAUGCCAGCUUUCUUUUUGCCCAUACUUAAGUUAGUUGCAUAUGUGUAUAUAUAUACAUGUAUCUAAUGUACAUAUGUAACAUUGGUUCCGAAGGAAAGAUUUAUAUUCGUUCGCACCUUCUUCCUAUUCGAUAGAAGGGCCAUUGGAGGUGAGGUUAGGGGCUUUUACAUACAUAUGCGUGUGUGUGUAUACAUCUUAGCUAAUUUAUAUAUGUUGCUUUGGUCUCUCUUCGUGUGGUUUUAAUCUUUAUGAUUUCAGACAUUAUAAACUUCAUUUCUUUUAAGCUUAUAGUAAUCCGUGUCAUGAAAUUAUAAUUCAUCAUUUUCAUUCUUGGAAAUUUGUGGUUAUGACUAAUGUUUUCGCCUUUACGCAAUUACUCUAAUGGUCAAAAGCGCACCGAAGUAAUCCCUUGUUUGGAGUUUCAUUUAUGGACUCUGUGGUGUGUGAGUUUCCUACCUGGACGGUCACCAAUUAUCUAUCAAAACACAGCUCAGCUAUCAAUGUUUACUUUUUCUACUUGAACGAUGGUCAAAUGUGGGGAACGAUUGAUAGUUGGAGAUGCGUUUUGAUAAAUAGGUGUGUUUUUGACCUUUUCACUCAAUAAAAAUCAUAGGUCGUACGGACCUACAGAGGAUUGGGUGGGGGCUGUUGGGGAGAAAAGUAGAAAACAACUUAUGCUGAUGGAAUAUUUUGCUUCUUUGACAUGAUUUCUACUUUUAUUUUCAUGACUGUGACUUGACAUGUUCAUUUAUUAGCUGUAAUGGAUUCAGAGUUUUUGUUUACUGUGUGGUUACAACUUCUUGCAUUGUGCAAGUUGUGGCCUACUUUGUUAUUGUGGCUUGAAGUGGUCUUUUCUCCAUGUUUUACUGUUUCGUUGACGGAUAGGCAAUUUCUGGCCUCAAUUCUGUUUUGGAAUUUUAUGUGGACCCUGUUGCUAUGGUCCUCAUGUUUUUGUCAGUAGAUUGAAUUGUUGAUUUCGUAUUUAUUUCCUGCCAAUGAUAGUUUGGUCUCUUAAAUAUGCAUUCAUCGGUUUACUUGUAUUAGAUGAACCUUGAAAAGAAGCAAACCUAAUGUACUGUUUGCAGGUUUGGGAUUGAAGCGGCAGCGUAGCGAAAAUGGGGGCCGGUGGUCGUAUGUCUGCUCCAAACGGCAAGACUGAAGAAAAGACAAACCCUCUUCAAAAGGUGCCAACCUCAAAGCCUCCUUUCUCCGUUGGUGAUGUCAAGAAAGCCAUUCCACCUCACUGCUUUCAGAGGUCUCUUGUUCGCUCGUUCUCCUAUGUUGUGUAUGACCUCAUUCUCGUCGCCAUCAUGUACUACGUCGCCACCACUUACAUCAACCUCCUUCCAUCCCCGUAUAGCUACAUUGCAUGGCCUAUUUACUGGAUCUGCCAGGGUUGUGUUUGCACUGGUAUUUGGGUUAUCGCCCAUGAAUGUGGCCACCAUGCCUUCAGUGAUUACCAAUUGGUUGAUGACACCGUUGGGCUUAUCCUUCACUCUGCUCUGAUGGUGCCGUACUUCUCUUGGAAAUAUAGUCAUCGGCGCCAUCACUCCAACACUGGCUCCCUCGAGCGUGAUGAGGUCUUUGUGCCUAAGCCUAAAUCCCAGCUCGGAUGGUAUUCCAAGUACUUGAACAAUCCUCCUGGCAGGGUUAUCACACUCACCAUCACCCUCACUCUUGGUUGGCCGUUGUACUUGGCCUUCAAUGUAUCCGGCAGACAUUAUGACCGAUUUGCUUGUCACUAUGACCCUUAUGGCCCAAUCUACAACAACCGCGAGAGGCUACAAAUCUUCCUGUCCGAUGCCGGAGUUCUUGGAGCUAGUUAUCUUCUAUAUCGUAUUGCCUUAGUGAAAGGGCUAGCUUGGCUAGUGUGCAUCUACGGCGUUCCCCUCCUCAUCGUGAACGGUUUCCUUGUCCUGAUCACCUAUUUGCAGCACACUCACCCAUCAUUGCCUCACUAUGACUCAACCGAGUGGGACUGGCUAAGGGGAGCACUGGCAACCUGCGACAGAGACUACGGCGUUCUAAACAAAGUCUUCCACAACAUCACCGACACUCACGUGGUGCACCAUCUGUUCUCAAACAUGCCACACUACCACGCGAUGGAAGCAACCAAAGCAGUCAAGCCAUUACUCGGAGACUACUACCAAUUCGAUGGAACCCCGGUUGUCAAAGCAAUGUGGAGGGAGGCAAAGGAGUGCAUCUACGUUGAGAAAGACGAAGCAGCAGCUCAAGGCAAAG
rnacentral:lncRNA from 1 species